AGCGAACGCUGGCGGCAGGCCUAACACAUGCAAGUCGAGCGGGCACUCACGGGUGUCUGCGGCGGACGGGUGAGGAACGCGGGGGAACGUGCGCUUUGGUUCGGAAUAACUCAGGGAAACGUGAGCUAAUACCGGAUACGCCCCUUUUGGGGAAGGCGUGCUGCCGGAGUAUCGGCGCGCGCUUGAUUAGCUAGUUGGUGUGGUAACGGCUCACCAAGGUGACGAUUGGUAGCUGGUCUGAGAGAAAGAUCAGAGACACCGUGACUGAGACACGGUCCGGACUCCUAGGGGAGGGGGGAGUGGGGGAUAUUGGACUAUGGGGGCAGGGCUGAUCCAGCCAUGCCGCGUGAGUGAUGAAGGCCUUAGGGUUGUAAAGCUCUUUUAUCCGGGACGGUAAUGACGGUACCGGAGGAAUAAGCCCCGGCUAACUUCGUG
rnacentral:rRNA from 1 species